rnacentral:rRNA from 1 species
GCCUAGUGGCGGACGGGUGAGUAACACGUGACCAACCAACCUCGAAGUUGGGAAUAGCUCUGCGAAAGCAGGGGUAAUACCGAAUGUGGCCCGGAGCGGACAUCCGCACCGGUCUAAAGAUUUAUCGCUUCGAGACGGGGUCGCGGCCUAUUAGCUUGUUGGUGGGGUAACGGCCUACCAAGGCGAUGAUGGGUAGCUGGUCUGAGAGGACGACCAGCCACACUGGGACUGAGACACGGCCCAGACUCCUACGGGAGGCAGCAGUGAGGAAUCUUCCGCAAUGGGCGAAAGCCUGACGGAGCAACGCCGCGUGUGGGAUGAACACUUUAGGGUUGUAAACCACUGUCGGAGGGGACGAUCGUGACGGUACCCUCCAAGAAAGCCCCGGCUUAACUACGUG